UUGCAUUCAAGGGUGUGACACGUGUAAGGCAUGCGUGGGAAUCUCUGAGACUUGGUGGUGAAGACUUGAUGGGGAACAGGCAUGCAUGGGAAUCUCUGAGACUAUGUUCAGGCUAGGUGGAUAGGUUGGAAUGCAUUAGUACAGACUAGGUGGGAGUGUUGCAUUCAAGGGUGUGACACGUGUAAGGCAUGCAAGGGAAUCUCUGAG
rnacentral:lncRNA from 1 species